UGCAUGAAUAGGAGUAUUCACAGAUAAUUGGCAGUCGUGUCUGGCCAAAUAUCCAGCUUUGUGGUGUGCAAAAACAUAGCUUGCAUGUCCAAAUUAGCUCAAGAAAUUUCCCGUUUCUGAAAAGGUGGGAAGGCUGCCAGCUCUUUCAAAAGGAAAACACACCCUCUUCGAACAUGAAUCAUCACACAUCACAGAGGUCAUACAAUGAAACUUGAAUAAUUGCCUAUGACCUUCCAAAAUAACCCUUUGUUGUUCAUGAGGCCCAACUCUUGACAACCAAGAUCUGCAUGUUCUUUGUUCUCUCAUGCUCAGAAGAAACAGUAGGAUGUUUACCAAUAACAUCGCUACAGGACAGGGCUUGAGAUAGACUGUAAACAGAGGUGCUAAAUAGACAGAACAGAGGAUUCACCCCUGAUUUCAUAGGACACCCUAGAAGGCUGAACUUAGCUCCUGUGGCUAGUUAUUUGUCGGAUGCUCGACUGGUUGACCUCUCCACCCCUGACCAGCUAUUUAUAGUGUAUCUCCUUUUUUUAAGCAAUAAAGACCUCAUCCAACUAGUCCACAGAAAUGGCAAAAUUGACCCCAGGUGGAUAACACAGAGAAGAGAAGUUGGGACAAGUCGUGAAAUUCCUUUAUGACUUUUCUUCGGUCCAGAAUGAACACUGGCUCAUUUUAGAAGCAGUCACAGAAACCUGCCAGAAGCUGAACCGAAAUCAGAGGCAAUCUGACCUGCCAGCAAUUGCGAGAGGGCACCGCAGCCCUUCUUAUUCAUGCUGCAACGGCGUUGAGCCAAUGUUUUUAUUCUUGUGACUGUCAACAUUCAAAUGCACUCCGACAAGAAGGCAGAUCGAGUUCCGUCACCUGGCAAAAGGAGUGGUUUGGCUGGGCGUGACAUGCUUGUAAUCCCUGCUGUUGGGGAGACCUGGGCUGGUGGAUUGCCCCAACCCAGGAAUUCUGAGCUGCAGUGCAUGAAGCUACUCAGGCAUACUGCUCAUUCUCAGGUCACUUUUAGAAGAGUAAUAGGAAAUGGAAUCAGAUAGAAGUGACUUACCCAGGAUCACUAGACGUGUUUCCUCAUCUAUAAAAAUGAGCUGGAAAAGGAAAUGGAAAACCACUCCAGAAUCUCUGCCAAGAAAAUCUCCAAAUGGAGUCAUGAAGAGUUGGACAGAGCUGAAACAACUGAACAACAACAAAUAAAUUGUCAAUGAAUGGAAAUGGUUAGUCA
rnacentral:lncRNA from 1 species